AGAAACAGAAGAAUAAAUAAUUAAAAUGCCUGCACCACCUCCCAAACCUGUUAAAUGUGUUAGAAAGGGGUGUGGAAAGUGCCUGUACUGCAUGAAAAUUGUUGCACUUUGUGAGUGUACAGAGGAAGAUAAGAAAGGAGACCCUAAGGAUGUAAUGUAUGGCUGGUGCCAUAAAUGCCGAGAAAAGUACCCGGAUGAAUAUAAAAAUUUAGUCGGGUAAUAAAAGUAUAAUGUUUA